CUCCUACGGGAGGCAGCAGUAGGGAAUCUUCGGCAAUGGACGAAAGUCUGACCGAGCAACGCCGCGUGAGUGAAGAAGGUUUUCGGAUCGUAAAACUCUGUUGUUAGAGAAGAACAAGGAUGAGAGUAAAAUGUUCAUCCCUUGACGGUAUCUAACCAGAAAGCCACGGCUAACUACGUGCCAGCAGCCGCGGUAAUACGUAGGUGGCAAGCGUUGUCCGGAUUUAUUGGGCGUAAAGCGAGCGCAGGCGGUUUCUUAAGCCUGAUGUGAAAGCCCCCGGCUCAACCGGGGAGGGUCAUUGGAAACUGGGAGACUUGAGUGCAGAAGAGGAGAGUGGAAUUCCAUGUGUAGCGGUGAAAUGCGUAGAUAUAUGGAGGAACACCAGUGGCGAAGGCGGCUCUCUGGUCUGUAACUGACGCUGAGGCUCGAAAGCGUGGGGAGCGAACAGGAUUAGAUACCCUGGUAGUCCACGCCGUAAACGAUGAGUGCUAAGUGUUGGAGGGUUUCCGCCCUUCAGUGCUGCAGCAAACGCAUUAAGCACUCCGCCUGGGGAGUACGACCGCAAGGUUGAAACUCAAAGGAAUUGACGGGGGCCCGCACAAGCGGUGGAGCAUGUGGUUUAAUUCGAAGCAACGCGAAGAACCUUACCAGGUCUUGACAUCCUUUGACCACUCUAGAGAUAGAGCUUCCCCUUCGGGGGCAAAGUGACAGGUGGUGCAUGGUUGUCGUCAGCUCGUGUCGUGGGAUGUUGGGUUAAGUCCCGCAACGAGCGCAACCCUUGAUCUUAGUUGCCAUCAUUAAGUUGGGCACUCUAAGGUGACUGCCGGUGACAAACCGGAGGAAGGUGGGGAUGACGUCAAAUCAUCAUGCCCCUUAUGACCUGGGCUACACACGUGCUACAAUGGACGGUACAAAGAGCUGCAAGACCGCGAGGUGGAGCUAAUCUCAUAAAACCGUUCUCAGUUCGGAUUGUAGGCUGCAACUCGCCUACAUGAAGCUGGAAUCGCUAGUAAUCGCGGAUCAGAAUGUCGCGGUGAAUACGUUCCCGGGCCUUGUACACACCGCCCGU
rnacentral:rRNA from 1 species